rnacentral:rRNA from 1 species
GAUGAACGCUGGCGGCGUGCCUAAUACAUGCAAGUCGAGCGAACGGACGAGAAGCUUGCUUCUCUGAUGUUAGCGGCGGACGGGUGAGUAACACGUGGAUAACCUACCUAUAAGACUGGGAUAACUUCGGGAAACCGGAGCUAAUACCGGAUAAUAUUGUGAACCGCAUGGUUCAAAAGUGAAAGACGGUCUUGCUGUCACUUAUAGAUGGAUCCGCGCUGCAUUAGCUAGUUGGUAAGUUAACGGCUUACCAAGGCAACGAUGCAUAGCCGACCUGGGAGGGUGAUCGGCCACACUGGAACUGAGACACGGUCCAGACUCCUACGGGAGGCAGCAGUAGGGAAUCUUACGCAGAGGGCGAAAGCCUGACGGAGCAACGCCGCGUGAGUGAUGAAGGUCUUCGGAUCGUAAAACUCUGUUAUUAGGGAAGAACAUAUGUGUAAGUAACUGUGCACAUCUUGACGGUACCUAAUCAGAAAGCCACGGCUAACUACGUG